rnacentral:pre_miRNA from 1 species
AGGAGCAACAACCCCAGUGGCAGCGGCCGGUAUGGAGCCCUGGAGUCAGCUCCUGCAAUAACUACGAAGCUCUCGGUCUGCAGGGCCUGGAGGCUCCGGGGCGGG